ACCUGAUUCAGCGGCGGACGGGUGAGUAAUGCCUAGGAAUCUGCCCGAUAGUGGGGGACAACGUUUCGAAAGGAACGCUAAUACCGCAUACGUCCUACGGGAGAAAGUGGGGGAUCUUCGGACCUCACGCUAUCGGAUGAGCCUAGGUCGGAUUAGCUAGUUGGUGAGGUAAUGGCUCACCAAGGCGACGAUCCGUAACUGGUCUGAGAGGAUGAUCAGUCACACUGGAACUGAGACACGGUCCAGACUCCUACGGGAGGCAGCAGUGGGGAAUAUUGGACAAUGGGCGAAAGCCUGAUCCAGCCAUGCCGCGUGUGUGAAGAAGGUCUUCGGAUUGUAAAGCACUUUAAGUUGGGAGGAAGGGCAGUAAGCUAAUACCUUGCUGUUUUGACGUUACCAACAGAAUAAGCACCGGCUAACUUCGUGCCAGCAGCCGCGGUAAUACGAAGGGUGCAAGCGUUAAUCGGAAUUACUGGGCGUAAAGCGCGCGUAGGUGGUUCAGCAAGUUGGAUGUGAAAUCCCCGGGCUCAACCUGGGAACUGCAUCCAAAACUACUGAGCUGGAGUACGGUAGAGGGUGGUGGAAUUUCCUGUGUAGCGG
rnacentral:rRNA from 1 species